AGAGGUGGGCGUUGCCUCCGCCCUCCAACCCCGGCUGUGGGCGGCGCCGUGUCCGGCACCGCUUCGGGCUGAGGGACUCCAGGACAGGGAUAGGGGACCACGGAGGUGGUUCCUGGGCUACAGGGCCCACGACAGCUGGCUGAGCCCCGCGCUGGACACCCGGACUGCGGGUAGAGCCGAAGACACCUGGCCGGGCCUGGCGAGAGCCCACAAGAUAGAGAAGGAGGAAUGGCAUGCUCCACCGUUCACUUACUCAAAAAAACCCAUGUUACCCGGCACUUCCUAUGCACCAGGUACAGAGUUAGACACUGAAGAAAAUGAGUCAAGAAAUGAUGCCCUCCCCAAGAUGCUCUAACAAAGCGUGGGCGAGGGCAAGGCGCUGGGGGUACAGCCUCAAAUUUCUGCCCUGGAAAGGGCUUCUGGUGGAAAUGGCCCCUGAGUUGGGUAUUGGAAGAUAAAUGAGAGGGAGUCAGCUCGGUGAAGAAGGGAAUUUGAACAUUCCCUGCAAAUGGAGCAUCCCAGGCAAGGGCCUGGAGGUCAGAAUGUGAAUGGUCAGCCUGCAGAACAGGAAACUGGCCCAGCGUCUGUAACAAAAGAAGCCCCAGAACUGGACCACAGCAGCCACUAGGUGGAUGGAGAAGCCCAUGAGCCAAG